rnacentral:rRNA from 1 species
UGGGCAAUGGGCGAAAGCYUGACCCAGCCACGCCGCGUGUGUGAUGAAGGCUUCGGGUCGUAAAGCACUGUGGGGAGAGACGAAACAGCGCAUCAGGAAAUGGUUGCGCCUUGACGGUACCUCCUUAGCAAGCACCGGCUAACUCUGUGCCAGCAGCCGCGGUAAUACAGAGGGUGCAAACGUUGCUCGGAUUUACUGGGCGUAAAGCGCGUGUAGGCGGACUCGCAAGUCGGUUGUGAAAUCCCUGGGCUCAACCUAGGAACUGCAUCCGAAACUGCUUGUCUUGAGUAAUGGAGAGGGUGGCGGAAUUCCCGGUGUAGAGGUGAAAUUCGUAGAUAUCGGGAGGAACAUCAGUGGCGAAGGCGGCCACCUGGACAUUUACUGACGCUGAGACGCGAAAGCGUGGGGAGCAAACAGGAUUAGAUACCCUGGUAGUCCACGCCGUAAACGAUGAGAACCUAGGUGCAG